AGUGAACGCUGGCGGUAGGCCUAACACAUGCAAGUCGAACGGCAGCACAGUAAGAGCUUGCUCUUACGGGUGGCGAGUGGCGGACGGGUGAGGAAUACAUCGGAAUCUACUUUUUCGUGGGGGAUAACGUAGGGAAACUUACGCUAAUACCGCAUACGACCUACGGGUGAAGGCAGGGGAUCUUCGGACCUUGCGCGAUUGAAUGAGCCGAUGUCGGAUUAGCUAGUUGGCGGGGUAAAGGCCCACCAAGGCGACGAUCCGUAGCUGGUCUGAGAGGAUGAUCAGCCACACUGGAACUGAGACACGGUCCAGACUCCUACGGGAGGCAGCAGUGGGGAAUAUUGGACAAAGGGCGCAAGCCUGAUCCAGCCAUACCGCGUGGGUGAAGAAGGCCUUCGGGUUGUAAAGCCCUUUUGUUGGGAUAGAAAAGCAGCAGGUUAAUACCCCGCUGUUCUGACGGUACCCAAAGAAUAAGCACCGGCUAACUUCGUG
rnacentral:rRNA from 1 species